rnacentral:rRNA from 1 species
GAUCAAAUCAAGCGCGAAAAGGGCGAUUGGUGGAUGCCUUGGCAGUAAGAGGCGAUGAAGGACGUGAUACCCUGCGUUAAGCCAUGGGGAGCCGGGAAUAGGCUUUGAUCCAUGGAUGUCCGAAUGGGGGAACCCACCUGAAAUUCUGUUGUUGUUAUCUACUGGCUGUUUACAGUCAGUGGGUGAUCAUCAACGGGGUUAGACAGGUACUUAUCUCUGAAUAAAAUAGGGGAAUAAGAGCAAACCCGGGGAACUGAAACAUCUAAGUACCCGGAGGAAAGGAAAUCAAGAGAGACUCCGUUAGUAGUGGCGAGCGAACGCGGACCAGCCGAGCCUGGAAGAGUGACUGGAAUGGUCUGGAAAGGCCAGCAAUAUAGGGUGACAGCCCCGUACAGGAAGCUCCAUGGGACAUAUUAAGUAAGGCGGGACACGUGAAAUCCUGUCUGAAGAUCGGGGGACCACCCCCGAAGGCUAAGUACUCCUUACUGACCGAUAGCGAACCAGUACCGUGAGGGAAAGGUGAAAAGCACCCCGACGAGGGGAGUGAAACAGUACCUGAAACCGGUCGCCUACAAGCAGUCGGAGGGACCAUGAGUCCUGACGGCGUACCUUUUGUAUAAUGGGUCAACGACUUGGUCUUACUAGCAAGCUUAAGCCGAUAGGUGUAGGCGCAGCGAAAGCGAGUCUUAAAUGGGCGAAUGAGUUAGUGGGAUCAGACCCGAAACCAGGUGAUCUAGCCAUGAGCAGGAUGAAGGUAAGGUAACACUUACUGGAGGUCCGAACCAACACCCGUUGAAAAGGGUCUGGAUGACUUGUGGCUAGGGGUGAAAGGCCAAUCAAACCUGGAGAUAGCUGGUUCUCCGCGAAAGCUAUUUAGGUAGCGCCUCGGACGAAUACCUUGGGGGGUAGAGCACUACAUGGAUGAUGGGGGCCCACAGCCUUACUGAGUCUAAGUAAACUCCGAAUACCCAAGAGUACUAUCCGGGAGACACACGGCGGGUGCUAACGUCCGUCGUGAAGAGGGAAACAACCCUGACCUGCAGCUAAGGCCCCUAAUUCGUGGUUAAGUGGGAAAGCAUGUGGGACGGCCAAAACAACCAGGAGGUUGGCUUAGAAGCAGCCAUCCUUUAAAGAUAGCGUAACAGCUCACUGGUCUAGAUAAGCUGUCCUGCGGCGACAAUGUAACGGGGCUCAAACCACGAGCCGAAGCUCAGGAUGUGUAGCAAUACACGUGGUAGCGGAGCGUUCUGUGAUAUAGGACGCUGUGUCUUUAGCAUCUUAGGAUGUUACGGACACAAUGUGCUUUCUGUGAAGCCGGGCUGUAAGGCAUCCGGUGGAGAGAUCAGAAGCGAGAAUGUUGACAUGAGUAGCGACAAACAGGGUGAGAGACCCUGUCGCCGAAAGUCCAAGGGUUCCUGCUUAAAGCUAAUCUGAGCAGGGUAAGCCGGCCCCUAAGGCGAGGCCGAAAGGCGUAGUCGAUGGGAACCACGUUAAUAUUCGUGGGCCAGAAGGAAGUGACGGAUCUCGAGGAUUGUCUGCCCUUAUCGGAUUGGGUGGGCCGUUUAGAGGUUCCUGGAAAUAGCCCUUCAUGAGACCGUACCCUAAACCGACACAGGUGGACUGGUAGAGUAUACCAAGGCGCUUGAGAGAACUACAUCAAAGGAACUCGGCAAAAUGCCUCCGUAAGUUCGCGAGAAGGAGGCCCCACUUUUACGCAAGUAGAGGUGGGGGGCACAAACUAGGGGGUGGCGACUGUUUACUUAAAACACAGGGCUCUGCGAAGUCGUAAGACGACGUAUAGGGUCUGACGCCUGCCCGGUGCUGGAAGGUUAAAAGGAGGGGUGCAAGCUCUGAAUUGAAGCCCCAGUAAACGGCGGCCGUAACUAUAACGGUCCUAAGGUAGCGAAAUUCCUUGUCGGGUAAGUUCCGACCUGCACGAAUGGCGUAACGA